rnacentral:lncRNA from 1 species
AAGUUUAUAUCUGUAUACACACAAAUAUAUAUGCGUGUAUUAGACAGAUACAGAAAUAAACCUGUCAUAUUUGUAGAUAAAAAUCUGUUAUAUACACACACAAAUAUAUACGUGUGUGUAUGAUAUAGAUACAAGUGUAAACCUGUUAUCUAGAAGCCUGUUCCUAUAUCAAUACGGGGGGCAGACAGGACCCCGUUGCAUGUGCGUGCACACACACAGGCACGUGUGUUAUAGGGCCGCAGCCCAGGCUCUUCACUACCCGGACUCCGCUGUACGUAUUUCGUGUGUCUGUACCGGUGUGUACGACUAUAUCGGUACAGACGCAGGGCACGUUACUCACUGGGUGCGCGGGUGCGGACGCCGCCGAGACACCGGGAUUUGCAAACCCAAUCCGAUCGCGAACGGUUCCCGGCCCCUCGCCUGUCGCCCGCGACAUUUGCCCAGAAACCCGCGGCUGGCCGCGAGCAGCCCCGCCGGGAGAGCGAUCCGGGCCGCGGGAGUCGCUCGCUGCUUUGCCCCGGCGCAGCGCUGCGCUCGUUGCAGCCCGCAGCCGCCCCCGCCCCGGGGCUUUCCCGCCGCGCAGCCGGGCCUUGCCCCCGGGCGCUGGCGCGGGAGGAUCCGCGCAAGCCACGAAGGCUGGGGCUCCGCUUCCCACCCGCGGGCCGGACCUACCGCGGAGCCGCCGGUGCGUGGGGCUCGGCCCGCGGCGGCGCCUCGACGUGGGCCGGUGCCUGAGCCCCCGCUGCUUGUCUCGUCCGCAGAGUCUGCAGGGCCUGACGGGGACGCCGCUGGUGGCCGGCAGUCCGAUCCGCCACGAGAGCGCGGUGCAGGGCAGCGCCGUGGAGGUGCAGACCUACCAGCCGCCCUGGAAAGCGCUCAGCGACUUCGCGCUGCAGAGCGACCUGGACCAGCCCGCCUUCCAGCAGCUGGUCUCCUUCUCCGAAUCCGGCUCCUUGGGCAACUCCUCCGGCAGCGAUGUGACCUCCCUGUCCUCGCAGCUACCCGACACCCCCAACAGCAUGGUGCCCAGCCCGGUGGAGACGUGAGGCGAGGCUCUCUUCGCGGACUUGGACUUUCGCAUGCUCCUGCUCCCUGCAUGAGACACGCCCGGCCUCCGGCCCCGAGCGCCAGACGAGCUCGGGUUUUAACUUAUUGUUAUUUAAAAACCAAGAGCAACAGCGAAACAAAGCGCGCCCCGACGGCCAGCACGCCCCAGGACCCGGGCUGCGGAUUUUCAUGUUGAUGUUUCGUUUGUUCGUUUUGUCUUUUUUUUGCAAAGCAAAAAACUGUCCAAACGCCGGUGGAUGCCCGAGAACGAGCCCCCAGGCCCUGCCCGAGCGGGCAGGCGAUUUAUCGUUUUGUCUUUUGGGAACAAAAUCUAACGGGGAGCAGGGGGGCUUGUAUCUUCCUCGGGGCGGGGCGGGACCAGCACCAUCCCUCGGCCCGUGUCUGCUCGGACCAGCCCCUGCCCCGGGACCACGGGCACCCCGACCUGCCUGGGGGCGAGGAGGCUCCCCGCAUGACUGCCGGACGCGGGCGGGGAGGAGGGCGGGCGGGACGCGCUGUCGGACAAGCCUGUAACCAGCCGCACUAAGUUAUUGUUAUUUAUUGGCGGAGCCGCCGCCGCCGGGGUUGGCUUGUGAUGAGCGGAAUAAAACAGCAGCAGCAGCAGCA